GGACGAACGCUGGCGGCGUGCCUAAUACAUGCAAGUCGAACGCCUCUUUUUCCACCGGAGCUUGCUCCAUCGGAAAAAGAGGAGUGGCGAACGGGUGAGUAACACGUGGGUAACCUGCCCAUCAGAAGGGGAUAACACUUGGAAACAGGUGCUAAUACCGUAUAACAAUCGAAACCGCAUGGUUUUGAUUUGAAAGGCGCUUUCGGGUGUCGCUGAUGGAUGGACCCGCGGUGCAUUAGCUAGUUGGUGAGGUAACGGCUCACCAAGGCGACGAUGCAUAGCCGACCUGAGAGGGUGAUCGGCCACAUUGGGACUGAGACACGGCCCAAACUCCUACGGGAGGCAGCAGUAGGGAAUCUUCGGCAAUGGACGAAAGUCUGACCGAGCAACGCCGCGUGAGUGAAGAAGGUUUUCGGA
rnacentral:rRNA from 1 species